UGCGGGAUGGUGAAAUGGUAUCACACCGCCCUUUGAAGGCGAUUUUCUAGGUUCGAGUCCUAGUCCCGCAG
rnacentral:tRNA from 1 species